GUCUAUGGCCAUGCCACCCUGAACAAGCCCGAUGUCUGAUCUUGGAAGCUAAGCAGGGUAGGGCCUGGUUAGUACUUGGAUGGGAGACCACCUAGGAAGACCAGGUGCUGUAGGCA
rnacentral:rRNA from 1 species